rnacentral:rRNA from 1 species
UGGGGAAUCUUCCGCAAUGGACGAAAGUCUGACGGAGCAACGCCGCGUGAGUGAAGAAGGUUUUCGGAUCGUAAAACUCUGUCUUUUGGGGCGAACGUGAGUAUGGUGAACAAUCAUAGUCAGUGACGGUACCAAAGGAGGAAGCCACGGCUAACUACGUGCCAGCAGCCGCGGUAAUACGUAGGUGGCAAGCGUUGUCCGGAAUUAUUGGGCGUAAAGAGCGCGUAGGCGGGAUAGUCAGUCUGUUGUAAAGUGCGGGGCUCAACCCCGUGAUGGCAAUGGAAACAGCUAUUCUUGAGUGCAGGAGAGGAAAGUGGAAUUCCCAGUGUAGCGGUGAAAUGCGUAGAUAUUGGGAGGAACACCAGUGGCGAAGGCGACUUUCUGGACUGUGUCUGACGCUGAGGCGCGAAAGCCAGGGGAGCGAACGGGAUUAGAUACCCCGGUAGUCCUGGCCGUAAACGAUGGGUACUAGGUGUGGGGGGUAUCGACCCCUUCCGUGCCGGAGUUAACGCAAUAAGUACCCCGCCUGGGGAGUACGGUCGCAAGACUGAAACUCAAAGGAAUUGAC